AGAGUUUGAUCAUGGCUCAGAUUGAACGCUGGCGGCAGGCUUAACACAUGCAAGUCGAACGGUAACAGGGAGAAGCUUGCUUCUUUGCUGACGAGUGGCGGACGGGUGAGUAAUGCUUGGGAAUCUGGCUUAUGGAGGGGGAUAACUACGGGAAACUGUAGCUAAUACCGCGUAAUAUCUUCGGAUUAAAGGGUGGGACUUUCGGGCCACCUGCCAUAAGAUGAGCCCAAGUGGGAUUAGGUAGUUGGUGGGGUAAAGGCCUACCAAGCCGACGAUCUCUAGCUGGUCUGAGAGGAUGACCAGCCACACUGGAACUGAGACACGGUCCAGACUCCUACGGGAGGCAGCAGUGGGGAAUAUUGCACAAUGGGGGGAACCCUGAUGCAGCCAUGCCGCGUGAAUGAAGAAGGCCUUCGGGUUGUAAAGUUCUUUCGGUGAUGAGGAAGGCGGUUGUUUUAAUAGAACAAUCGAUUGACGUUAGUCACAGAAGAAGCACCGGCUAACUCCGUGCCAGCAGCCGCGGUAAUACGGAGGGUGCGAGCGUUAAUCGGAAUGACUGGGCGUAAAGGGCACGCAGGCGGUGACUUAAGUGAGAUGUGAAAGCCCCGGGCUUAACCUGGGAAUUGCAUUUCAUACUGGGUCGCUAGAGUAUUUUAGGGAGGGGUAGAAUUCCACGUGUAGCGGUGAAAUGCGUAGAGAUGUGGAGGAAUACCGAAGGCGAAGGCAGCCCCUUGGGAAUAUACUGACGCUCAUGUGCGAAAGCGUGGGGAGCAAACAGGAUUAGAUACCCUGGUAGUCCACGCUGUAAACGCUGUCGAUUUGGGGAUUGGGCUUUAAGCUUGGUGCCCGUAGCU
rnacentral:rRNA from 1 species